GUCAGAAUGGCCGAGUGGUCUAAGGCGCCAGACUCAAGUUCUGGUCUCCAAAUGGAGGCGUGGGUUCAAAUCCCACUUCUGACA
rnacentral:tRNA from 1 species